AGUGAACGCUGGCGGUAGGCCUAACACAUGCAAGUCGAACGGCAGCACAGUAAGAGCUUGCUCUUACGGGUGGCGAGUGGCGGAAGGGUGAGGAAUACAUCGGAAUCUACUUUUUCGUGGGGGAUAACGUAGGGAAACUUACGCUAAUACAGCAUACGACCUACGGGUGAAAGCAGGGGAUCUUCGGCCCUUGCGCGAUUGAAUGAGCCGCUGUCGGAUUAGCUAGUUGGCGGGGUAAAGGCCCACCAAGGCGACGAUCCGUAGCUGGUCUGAGAGGAUGAUCAGCCACACUGGAACUGAGACACGGUCCAGACUCCUACGGGAGGCAGCAGUGGGGAAUAUUGGACAAUGGGGGCAAGCCUGAUCCAGCCAUACCGCGUGGGUGAAGAAGGCCUUCGGGUUGUAAAGCCCUUUUGUUGGGAAAGAAAAGCAGCAGGUUAAUACCCCGCUGUUCUGACGGUACCCAAAGAAUAAGCACCGGCUAACUUCGUG
rnacentral:rRNA from 1 species